ACACCAGCUGAGAGGCUAUUGGAAUUGUAUAACGGGAAGUGGGGACAACAAAUAGACCCUGUUUUUGAGGAGCUACUUUACUGAGAUAUACCUUUCCACAGGAAUAAUUUGUGAUGUAAAUCUUAGGCGUGAAGUUUCGUUUCUAAUUUGGACCGAACAUAGUCAGAUCAUUGUUCCAGUAUAUUCUUGGAAGGUUGAAAAGUAAUUGAAACUUCUUGAGAUGAA